GGUGGAGUGCCCGAGUGGUUAUGGGGUUGCGUUUAGGCCGCAAUGGGUCAACCGCGCGAGUUCGAAUCUCGUCUCCAUCA
rnacentral:tRNA from 1 species